GCCUCUAUAGCUCACCGGUAGAGCGCCUCACUAGUAAUGAGGAGGCAACUGGUUCGACUCCAGUUAGAGGCA
rnacentral:tRNA from 1 species